rnacentral:misc_RNA from 1 species
GAAAUGCGAUAAGUAGUGUGAAUUGCAGAAUUCAGUGAAUCAUCGAAUCUUUGAACGCACAUUGCGCCCUUUGGUAGCCCAAAGGGCAUAUCUGUUCGAGUGUCAUUUACCUUCUCAAGCUCUGCUUGGUGUUGGGUGCUUGCCUUUCUAGGCUCACCUUGAAAUGAUUAGUGCUUGUGUAGUCUUACAAGUAGCGGAGUAGAAUCUGCUUCCUUGGGGGCGUCACGGCACUGUAAACCACUUUUUCUUAUUUUUGACCUCGGAUCAGAUAGGGAUACCCGCUGAACUUAA